rnacentral:lncRNA from 1 species
CAAGAAUCUCUUUGCUGUCCCCAGCCUCCUUGAUUUCUCACACCUCACUGAGCAAGCACGGCAGUUGGACGACCUCCGACCUUGUUGUCAAGCUUGGCUGGAGGACAACUGCCCGGGUAGCAGAAAGUCACACGACGCCUGCCAUCGCUGUGGAGGAAGAUUAUCUUGAACUCCUUGCCUUUUGAACACUGGAAUUUCAUCUGUGCCUUGUGUGCUUAGACCACCAGCUUUCCUCCAACCUUCAAACGGUAAGUAACUGCUGUACCAGCUUUCUAGUUUGCCCCUUUGAUUGUGUUGGCAAGCACUGUGCUGUUUCUGGACUGUGCUCCUGGUUCUUAACUCCAGACUUGCAUUAAAGGCUCUGAAUCCUGGUUCAGGCCCUUAAAGAACUGUGCUAUUUAUGAGAAGGCUUCAUUCUGCUGCAACUUGCUUUCUAGUUUUAAGCAU